GACGAACGCUGGCGGCGUGCCUAAUACAUGCAUGUCGAGCGCAGGAAAUCGACGGAACCCUUCGGGGGGAAGUCGACGGAAUGAGCGGCGGACGGGUGAGUAACACGUAAAGAACCUGCCCUCAGGUCUGGGAUAACCACGAGAAAUCGGGGCUAAUACCGGAUGGGUCAUCGGACCGCAUGGUCCGAGGAUGAAAGGCGCUUCGGCGUCGCCUGGGGAUGGCUUUGCGGUGCAUUAGCUAGUUGGGGGGGUAAUGGCCCACCAAGGCGACGAUGCAUAGCCGACCUGAGAGGGUGAUCGGCCACACUGGGACUGAGACACGGCCCAGACUCCUACGGGAGGCAGCAGUAGGGAAUCUUCCACAAUGGACGAAAGUCUGAUGGAGCAACGCCGCGUGAACGAUGAAGGCCUUCGGGUCGUAAAGUUCUGUUGUAAGGGAAGAACAAGUGCCGCAGGCAAUGGCGGCACCUUGACGGUACCUUGCGAGAAAGCCACGGCUAACUACGUGCCAGCAGCCGCGGUAA
rnacentral:rRNA from 1 species